GGGCGCGUGGCGAAAUUGGUAGACGCAUCACACUCAAAAUGUGACGGUAAUACCGUGAGGGUUCGAGUCCCUCCCCGCCCA
rnacentral:tRNA from 1 species